rnacentral:rRNA from 1 species
AGAGUUUGAUAAUGGCUCAGAUUGAACGCUGGCGGCAGGCCUAACACAUGCAUGUCGAACGGUAACAGGAAGAAGCUUGCUUCUUUGCUGACGAGUGGCGGACGGGUGAGUAAUGUCUGGGAAACUGCCUGAUGGAGGGGGAUAACUACUGGAAACGGUAGCUAAUACCGCAUAACGUCGCAAGACCAAAGAGGGGGACCUUCGGGCCUCUUGCCAUCGGAUGUGCCCAGAUGGGAUUAGCUAGUAGGUGGGGUAACGGCUCACCUAGGCGACGAUCCCUAGCUGGUCUGAGAGGAUGACCAGCCACACUGGAACUGUGACACGGUCCAGACUCCUACGGGAGGCAGCAGUGGGGAAUAUUGCACAAUGGGCGCAAGCCUGAUGCAGCCAUGCCGCGUGUAUGAAGAAGGCCUUCGGGUUGUAAAGUACUUUCAGCGGGGAGGAAGGGAGUAAAGUUAAUACCUUUGCUCAUUGACGUUACCCGCAGAAGAAGCACCGGCUAACUCCGUGCCAGCAGCCGCGGUAAUACGGAGGGUGCAAGCGUUAAUCGGAAUUACUGGGCGUAAAGCGCACGCAGGCGGUUUGUUAAGUCAGAUGUGAAAUCCCCGGGCUCAACCUGGGAACUGCAUCUGAUACUGGCAAGCUUGAGUCUCGUAGAGGGGGGUAGAAUUCCAGGUGUAGCGGUGAGAUGCGUAGAGAUCUGGAGGAAUACCGGUGGCGAAGGCGGCCCCCUGGACGAAGACUGACGCUCAGGUGCGAAAGCGUGGGGAGCAAACAGGAUUAGAUACCCUGGUAGUCCACGCCGUAAACGAUGUCGACUUGGAGGUUGUGCCCUUGAGGCGUGGCUUCCGGAGCUAACGCGUUAAGUCGACCGCCUGGGGAGUACGGCCGCAAGGUUAAAACUCAAAUGAAUUGACGGGGGCCCGCACAAGCGGUGGAGCAUGUGGUUUAAUUCGAUGCAACGCGAAGAACCUUACCUGGUCUUGACAUCCACGGAAGUUUUCAGAGAUGAGAAUGUGCCUUCGGGAACCGUGAGACAGGUGCUGCAUGGCUGUCGUCAGCUCGUGUUGUGAAAUGUUGGGUUAAGUCCCGCAACGAGCGCAACCCUUAUCCUUUGUUGCCAGCGGUCCGGCCGGGAACUCAAAGGAGACUGCCAGUGAUAAACUGGAGGAAGGUGGGGAUGACGUCAAGUCAUCAUGGCCCUUACGACCAGGGCUACACACGUGCUACAAUGGCGCAUACAAAGAGAAGCGACCUCGCGAGAGCAAGCGGACCUCAUAAAGUGCGUCGUAGUCCGGAUUGGAGUCUGCAACUCGACUCCAUGAAGUCGGAAUCGCUAGUAAUCGUGGAUCAGAAUGCCACGGUGAAUACGUUCCCGGGCCUUGUACACACCGCCCGUCACACCAUGGGAGUGGGUUGCAAAAGAAGUAGGUAGCUUAACCUUCGGGAGGGCGCUUACCACUUUGUGAUUCAUGACUGGGGUGAAGUCGUAACAAGGUAACCGUAGGGGAACCUGCGGUUG